GACCGCUUGGCGCAAUGGUAGCGCAUUCGACUACAGAUCGAAAGGUUGGGCGUUCGAUCUGCUCAGUAGUCA
rfam:Angiostrongylus costaricensis strain Costa Rica genome assembly, scaffold: ACOC_contig0003211